AGGGAUGUAGCGCAGCUUGGUAGCGCGUUCGUUUAGGGUACAAAAUGUCACGGGUUCAAAUCCUGUCAUACCUA
rnacentral:tRNA from 1 species